rnacentral:rRNA from 1 species
CAUGCAAGUCGAACGAGAGAGAGGAAGCUUGCUUCCUCAAUCGAGUGGCGAACGGGUGAGUAACGCGUGAGGAACCUGCCUCAAAGAGGGGGACAACAGUUGGAAACGACUGCUAAUACCGCAUAAGCCCACAGGUCGGCAUCGACCAGAGGGAAAAGGAGCAAUCCGCUUUGAGAUGGCCUCGCGUCCGAUUAGCUAGUUGGUGAGGUAAUGGCCCACCAAGGCAACGAUCGGUAGCCGGACUGAGAGGUUGAACGGCCACAUUGGGACUGAGACACGGCCCAGACUCCUACGGGAGGCAGCAGUGGGGAAUAUUGCACAACGGGGGAAACCCUGAUGCAGCGACGCCGCGUGGAGGAAGAAGGUCUUCGGAUUGUAAACUCCUGUUGUUGAGGAAGAUAAUGACGGUACUCAACAAGGAAGUGACGGCUAACUACGUGCCAGCAGCCGCGGUAAAACGUAGGUCACAAGCGUUGUCCGGAAUUACUGGGUGUAAAGGGAGCGCAGGCGGGAAGACAAGUUGGAAGUGAAAUCUAUGGGCUCAACCCAUAAACUGCUUUCAAAACUGUUUUUCUUGAGUAGUGCAGAGGUAGGCGGAAUUCCCGGUGUAGCGGUGGAAUGCGUAGAUAUCGGGAGGAACACCAGUGGCGAAGGCGGCCUACUGGGCACCAACUGACGCUGAGGCUCGAAAGUGUGGGUAGCAAACAGGAUUAGAUACCCUGGUAGUCCACACCGUAAACGAUGAUUACUAGGUGUUGGAGGAUUGACCCCUUCAGUGCCGCAGUUAACACAAUAAGUAAUCCACCUGGGGAGUACGACCGCAAGG